rnacentral:lncRNA from 1 species
UUGACAUCUGAGCACUUGAGUGUUAAAUGCAGCAUCUUUUCUCCUUGAGCAGGGUGAUGUGCAGUGAAGGCUCAGCCCUCCUUCCUUCCCAUAUCCCAGAUCCUUGGUGAGAGAAGAGGCAGAACAGUUCCUCAAGCCAGCCUGAUGCUUUGCUUCAGAGACACUGUAGGAAGGACUGUGGCAUUCUGGCAGAGAUGAAGAACAAUUAUUCUUCUGUUGUUGAACCUUCUCUUCAGGAAAUCACAUGUAUCAGGGAGAUGAAAGAUCUUGAACUUUAUGUGUGUCCAGCACAUAUGCCACCAUCUGGGAUAUGCCACCAGCUAUAGGAAGCAACCUAUGUGAAAAUGAAGAAUGUGCUACAAAUGCAAUGGUCUUUUUCAAGAAUUUCUGCUUCCCAGAGAAAUUUGAAAAUCCUGCUUCAGCACCAGCUGGGCUGUGGUAGGCAGUUUGGCCAGGAAUAUUGGCAGAAAUGUGAAAUCUCUUCAGUCCCAUGCGUGGUCUUCUAGCAACCCAUGUGGAGGCGAUGUGGUGUUUGCAGGCACACAGGAGCAGCUCCAGCCAUGUUGCCCCUGCAGCUGCUGCCAAAAUCUGGCUUGCCAGUGUGGUAAAUCUGGAACUGCUGAUGAUUGGCACUGCAAGACUUGCAUGGUAAGUUCAAGCUGUUCCAGAAGGCAAUGAGAUGAUUACUGACAUCCUGGAGUAGUUCCCUGAGGUCAUGUCAGUUGUACUCAGGAAUCUAAGAAAAUCCAACAAAUAAGAAUAUUGCUGUCAUUAUAACAAUACAUAGUUUCAGGCAUCAUUAUCUUGGUUGAUAAUGUUUGUCAGUCUCACAAAGCUGUCACAGGUCGACAGCUCACUGGAGCUUUGUACCUGCGAUAUUAUUUACUGUGGAAAAUUUCACAUUUAACUUUCUUUUCUUGCCCAGUCCUAGCAUACACCCCUUUCAGAUACAGAUGCCUAAACAAAGGUGUUUGGUUUUAUGGAAGCAAAAUCUAUACGUUACUCUUUACUUAGUAGGAAUUUAUUUUGUUUGUUGGUAGGAAGGCUUAUGACUAUUUUCUGUACUUCUCCUAAAGAAAUAGCUAUGGUUGAAGGUGAUCAGGAUAGGAGACAGUAAAGAAUACACUCUGCACUCUGUAGAACACAGCAUGAGAGAAACCAGAGGGUGCUUUGAAGCAGUUGCAUGUGCUGUGGAGAUAUUAUGUGGUUGACUUCUGCCAAAUGGAUUCAGUGGAUGAAGUAACAGCCAGAGUCUCAAGUUGCUCUUCAGGAGACAGCAGAUUUUGUUUUCUCUGAUUUUUCCAUUCUUUUCUGCUUUCAGCAUUCCAUCCUUUGAAUCAUUUAAGAAGUCUGGAUUUCAAAACCAAAUACUCACUGAAAAAGUUAGGCAAUGCUGACCUAUAGCUAGGAAACAG